AGUUUAUUGUGCUUGCAUGGAGGUUCUGUACAUUAGUAUUCAAAGGCCAAAUUAAAUGCAAUGGGGCUUCUGUUUGCCUACAAGUUUGGCUUCUGGGUCUCCCAUAUAUGGUGACAUAAAAUGUGACUGGGUAUCCUAAACUCUCAGGUCAUGGUACCAAGAAUGUGAAGAGAAGAGGGCUGCCUAGGGAACAUGCCAAGGCUCCAAACAUGUUGACUAAACCACAGAGACAGCUCUCAGUUCUCUUUUUCUUUGGCCUCUAGAAAUCCCCACUAACUGCUUCAACAAACUUGCAGCACUGACAUGGAAAUCAAUCAGCCUUGCAAAGGUUCAACUGUUAGUAAUGCUUCUUUCUAACUUUUAUUGACAAUGACUAACACAGCAAAGACUAGAAGGAAAAAGUGUAAAAAAAAAAAAAAGUUGUGGAGUGGUAACAGACAGAUGAGGGUUCUAAGAAAGAAGAGGAUUAGAUACUGAGCAUGCAUUUACAGGAAUGGAAACUACCUCUAAUGUGCUCAUCAGUGGUGCUGCCUAGCUUAACUGACAAAACCAUGACUUGUUAAGACCCUACAGGAUUUUUUAGUCUAAAAUCUAUAAGCAUCUGCGCCAACUUAUUCUACCAAUCAGGAUAUAGUGAUCGGGGACUUCAUUAGGAACAGGUCUUUGUUGUGCUCACUUAUCAUAUUCCCAUUGGUUAGAGUUUUCAACUGUGGCAGGGGACUUGCCUUGCCUUAACAUUUACGGCUUAAUUUGUCCAUGAUGAGACUUACCAUGUCUAAAAAGCGUGUCUUAUCUCACGAAUCAGGAUCUCAGUUACCCAUGUACAUGUCUCUUCCUGCCAAGUAGGAAUCAGUUCCCAGGGAAGGCUUAGGAACUUAAACUUUACUUGACCCCUACUGAAAACAGAAGUCUUAUUCCAAACAGUUUCUUAUAUUGGUGCAGGUGUCUUUCCCAUGUUGGGGUCCAUCCCAAGGGCAGCUCAUAAGAGCAAAUGCCAUAAAUUUAGGCUUCUAUACAGGUGAAGGAAGUGCUGCUGGGUGGCUGGUUUUGGUUCAAGCUUAUUGUGGGUAACUAUAUAGAGCAGUUCUACCGACUUCUAUUAUGAUUGCUUUCCAAGGGCGCAGAACAUAAUUGAAUAUGCAAUCUACUUGAGCAUGAGAAAAUUUCCUAGUAACAGCAAAAACAAUAUAUCAGGAAGUUUCCUUAUAAUGGUAGCAGCACAAAAUGGCCAGUUAGCCAGACAACAGUUACUUAGGCCUUAACAUUGUAUAUAGGCCUUAAUAUAUUUCCUAGACUUUAACAGGAAUAAAGAUAAAGAUGGUCAAAAGGAGGAGGAGAAAUGGCUAAAAUAAUAAGCCAAGAAUUUUAUAAAACUUAAUGUCAGACACCAGAUUUGAAGUACACGAACUGUAACAACACCUAGCUAAAUUCAUUUUUAUUUUAUUUUUUAUUUAUUAUUUUUCAAAGAUUUAUUUUAUUCAUAUGAGUAUCCUGUCCCAUGGGAUUCAGUUAUUCGUGGGUGCGAGGGGGACCGCAAACCUGGAAGAAAAUGAGAGGAAGGGAAGGAGAGGCAGCGAUCAAGAAGGGUUCCUAUCAAGGUCUCAGUCUUAUUAGGCUGAGAUGAUUGGUUUUAAAGCAUACAUCAUGGGGGAAUUGGGAGGGGUCGAGGGGGAAUUUAACAAAGACAAAAAAGUGGGCAUCUGCUGACAUGAAGGCCAAAAUCAGGCUCCAGGCAGCGGGCACUCUGUAUCUUAUCUCCAGAACAUAGAUCCUCCUUGACAGCCUUGGCGUGUCAGGCCUGACUCAGGUGUAACGCAUGUCCUUGGAAGUCAUGGGAGUUCAGGAAGAGAUAAGGAAGAGGGGACUAUAAUUCAGCUUUUACAGCCUCAGGUGCCAGGAAGGGAACAGGGAGGAGGCAGUGAAAACCAGCUCCUAGCACAAGGCCAUUUGGCCUGUCAGGGUGGGAGAUUGUGAAAGGCUCGCUUUCUCACGGUAUGGUCUCUGACAUAUGAGUAUACCAUAGCUGUCUUCAGACACACCAAAAGAGGACAUUACAUUACAUCUGAGAUCCCAUUACAGAUGGUUGUAAGCUACUAUGUGGUUGCUGGCAAUUGAACUCAGGACCUUUGGAAGAACAGUCAAUGCUCUUAAACGCUGACCCAUCUCUCCAGCCCCUAAAUUCAUUGUUAAAAAAAAAACAAAUGAUCGUGUUGUCAGAGAAGACAAUAUCUAAUUAGCUGGUCCAAGAAAUUGAAUACAGGGCCCUGUGCAUGGUAAGUCUCACCCUUUGAGUUCCUCCUGAGACUUUUUUUUGGGGGGGAGGGGGCGUUGGUCUUUUCAAGACAGGGUUUUUCUGUAUAGCCUUGGCUGUCCUGGAACUCACUCUGUAGACCAGGCUGGCCUUGAGCUCAGAUAUCCACCUGCCUCUGCCUCCCAAGUGCUGGGAUUAAAGGCAUGUGCCACCACGCCCGGCUCUGAGGCUAAUUUUUAAUCAUUUAGCAUGUCAGUAAACUAAAAUGAGAUGCCUUUAAUGUUAGUAGGAUAAUAAAUAUUUUGGUUUAAAAUUAAGAUUUUUUAUUAGAUUUUUUAAAAUCUUUCAAUCUUAUAUUUAAGUGCACUGACUUGAGGAUAAUUUAAAUUUGUUAAAAGCAGCCACAUAUUUUCUUUAUUUACAUUUCAAAUGUUAUUCCCCUUUCCUGGUGUCCCCUCCAAAAACCCAAAAUCCCCUCCCCUCUCCUCCUGCUCAUCAACCCAUCCACUCCAGCUUCUUGGCCCUGACAUCCCCCUACACUAGGGCAUAGAACCUUCACAGGACCAAGGGCCUCUCCUCUCAUUGAUGACUAACUAGGCCAUCAUCUGCUACAUAUACACCUGGUGUCAUGGUUCCAACAUGUGUACUCUUUGGUUGGUGGUUUAGUCCCAGGGAGGUCUGGGGGUACUGGAUGUUUCAUAUUGUUGUUCCUCCUAUGUGGUUGCAAACCACUUCAGCUCCUUGGGUACUUUCUCUAGCUCCUUCAUUGUGAACCCUGUGCUCAGGUCAAUGGAUGACUAGGGGCAUCCACUUCUGUAUUUGUCAGGCACUGGCAGAGCCUCUCAGGAUACAGCUAUAUCAGGCUCCUGUCAGCAAGCACUUGUUGGCAUCCACAAUAGUGUCUGGGUUUGGUGAUUGUAUACAGGAGAGAUCUCCAGGUGGGGCAGUCUCUGGAUGGUCCUUCCUUCAGUCUCUGCUCCAUACUUUAUCUCUGUAACUGCUUCGAGUGAGUAUUUUGUUCCCCCCAAAUUAGAUUUCUUUUCAUUGAAUUUUUUAUUGUUGAGGCUCUUUUUAACAUAACUAUAGCCAUUUGUAUUCAGUCUCCAUUUUGCUCAUAAGGUGUAAUUAAGUUCAGGUUCUCAGACUCUACUUCCCAGACAUAAUUUUCCAUAGCUGACACUAAAGAAUGUUACUAAUAAGUCAAAAAAGUUAUGGUUGAAUUACUUGUACCCUGUUAUCUCAGUGUUUGAAAUUCCCCUGUUCCCUACAUGCCCACCACCCCUUACUUCACUUAGGACCAAUCAGCUUAGGUUGGCUGAUAAUACUUUGUCUAGUUAGCCAAAAAACGUUGUACCACUUCACUGCUUGCCUCCUAACUUUUGAGCCUACUUUUCACAUAAAAAGCUUACCCCAAGGACAGUCUGGUGCCACAGUUAGGUUUUUUUUUCUUGUUGUCCUAGAUGUCCCAUAUUAUGGUGUACAUUCAAUAAACUAUGCUUGCUUAAC
rnacentral:lncRNA from 1 species